rnacentral:sRNA from 1 species
AAAAGAAAAAGAAAAAAAUACAUUCGAACAUGUCUGGGGUGUGCAACCCCCGCAACAUCAGCUAACAAAAUAGAACUAACAACAUCGGGCCUAGACUCCAACCAAUGCAAACCUAGGGGU